UCUUGGUCAUUUUAGAGGAAGUAAAAGUCGUAACAAGGUUUCCGUAGGUGAACCUGCGGAAGGAUCAUUAUCGUAUAACAGAGGUGUAAGGGCUGUCGCUGACCUUUAAAAGGUUGUGCACGCCUAAGCCCUCUCACACAAUCCAUCUCACCCCCUUUGUGCAUCACCGCGUGGGUCCUCCCUUUGCCGGGCGGGCCUGCGUUUUUAUAUAAAACUUGACACAAUGUAGAAUGUUUUCUUUUCUUGCAAUUAUAUGCAAUCAAUACAACUUUCAACAACGGAUCUCUUGGCUCUCGCAUCGAUGAAGAACGCAGCGAAAUGCGAUACGUAAUGUGAAUUGCAGAAUUCAGUGAAUCAUCGAAUCUUUGAACGCACCUUGCGCCCCUUGGCAUUCCGAGGGGCACACCCGUUUGAGUGUCGUGAAAUUCUCAAAACCCCCUUUUCUUUGAUCCUUUUUUGGGGUUCGGAAAAGGAGUUUUGGACUUGGAGGUUCAAUGCUUGCCUUUCACUUUUGAAAGCAAGCUCCUCUCAAAUAGAUUAGUGGGAUCUGCUUUGCUGAUCCUUAACGUGAUAAGAUGUUUUUACGUUUUGGAUUUGGCACUGUCCCUUGGAUGCCUGCUUCUAACUGUCUCACGGACAAUGAUGGUGCUCCGGUCACUACCAUUUUAUAUCGGUGGAAGGCUGGACCCACAAAAAUAAAACCUUGACCUCAAAUCGGGUGAGACUACCCGCUGAACUUAAGCAUAUCAAUAAGCGGAGGAAAAGAAACUAACAAGGAUUCCCCUAGUAACUGCGAGUGAAGCGGGAAAAGCUCAAAUUUAAAAUCUGGUGGUCUUUGGCCAUCC
rnacentral:rRNA from 1 species